UAGGGAAUCUUCCGCAAUGGGCGAAAGCCUGACGGAGCAACGCCGCGUGAGUGAUGAAGGUCUUCGGAUCGUAAAACUCUGUUAUUAGGGAAGAACAAAUGUGUAAGUAACUAUGCACGUCUUGACGGUACCUAAUCAGAAAGCCACGGCUAACUACGUGCCAGCAGCCGCGGUAAUACGUAGGUGGCAAGCGUUAUCCGGAAUUAUUGGGCGUAAAGCGCGUGUAGGCGGUUUUUUAAGUCUGAUGUGAAAGCCCACGGCUCAACUGUGGAGGGUCAUUGGAAACUGGAAAACUUGAGUGCAGAAGAGGAAAGUGGAAUUCCAUGUGUAGCGGUGAAAUGCGCAGAGAUAUGGAGGAACACCAGUGGCGAAGGCGACUUUCUGGUCUGUAACUGACGCUGAUGUGCGAAAGCGUGGGGAUCAAACAGG
rnacentral:rRNA from 1 species